GCCAAAGUGGCGGAACUGGUAGACGCGCACGACUCAAAAUCGUGUAUCCUCGGAUGUGUGGGUUCGAUUCCCACCUUUGGUA
rnacentral:tRNA from 1 species